UACGAAGGGGGCUAGCGUUGUUCGGAUUUACUGGGCGUAAAGCGCACGUAGGCGGAUUGUUAAGUCGGGGGUGAAAUCCUGGAGCUCAACUCCAGAACUGCCUUCGAUACUGGCAAUCUCGAGUCCGGAAGAGGAAAGUGGAAUUCCUGGUGUAGCGGUGAAAUGCGCAGAUAUCAGGAAGAACACCCGUGGCGAAGGCGGCUUUCUGGGACGGUACUGACGCUGAGACGCGAAAGCGUGGGGAGCGAACAGG
rnacentral:rRNA from 1 species